rnacentral:lncRNA from 1 species
GUGUAUGAAUCUCACUCCCCUCUUGUCUGUCUGGCCAGGAGUUCCCAAUUCACAAAUAAUAAUCUCCCUUCUCUCUCUCUCUCUCCCUCUUUUUCUCUCUUUCUUCUAUAUCUGUCUCAGUAGAUCGCUAUUCAGGAAGCCAGUCAUCCAUGACAAAUCCACUUGAAGCCAACUCUAUUCAGAGGUACAUAUACAACUCUUACUGAAAAGGUAUUGCCUUCAUCAAUUCCCCAUCAUUUCUUCAGCUGAUUAAAAUCGCAUUUGUGCUCAAGCUCUCUUUUCUCUCCCGCUACGAAUCUAAUUGCUAGUUCUCUGUUUCUUUGGCUCCCUCAAACUCUAGAUUAUGUUCUUUUUAUAGACUUAGUCUUGAUUUUAGUUUAAAGAGGUUGAUUUCGCGUUCACAGCCUCAAUUACCUUGCAUGUUCUUUACCUAUUGUCUGUUAAAGUUGGGGAAUUUUAGUUUGUAGACUCCCCCAAUUACAAAAUCCUUUUUCUUCUGUUGAUCGGAAGAAUUAGGGUUUUAAUCUGACUGACCAAGUCAAAGUAUUUAGGGUUUUUUUCAUUGAUUUAGCCAGAGAAAUAUGGGUUUUGAUAUGUUUGAGCAAAAAGUUGGGGUUUUGCUGAUUUUUUUUGUUUUUCUGAUGGAAUUAGGGUUUUAAUCCAAUUUGAAUCAGG